GAAAUGCGAUAAGUAAUGUGAAUUGCAGUAUUCAGUGAAUCAUCGAAUCUUUGAACGCACAUUGCGCCCGCCAGUAUUCUGGCGGGCAUGCCUGUCCGAGCGUCAUUUCAACCAUCAAGCCCCCGGGCUUGUGUUGGGGACCUGCGGCUGCCCGCAGGCCCUGAAAACCAGUGGCGGGCUCGCUGUCACACCGAGCGUAGUAGCAAUCACCUCGCUCAGGGCGUGCUGCGGGUUCCGGCCGUUAAACAGCCUUACAAAACCCAAGGUUGACCUCGGAUCAGGUAGGAAGACCCGCUGAACUUAAGC
rnacentral:misc_RNA from 1 species